rnacentral:rRNA from 1 species
CCCAGAUCGUUUACCGUGAAAAAAUUAGAGUGUUCAAAGCAGGCAGAUCCAAUUUUCUGCCACCGAAUACAUUAGCAUGGGAUAAUGGAAUAGGACCCUGUCCUCCUAUUUUCAGUUGGUUUUGGCAGCGCGAGGACUAGGGUAAUGAUUAAUAGGGAUAGUUGGGGGCAUUAAUAUUUAAUUGUCAGAGGUGAAAUUCUUGGAUUUAUGAAAGAUUAACUUCUGCGAAAGCAUCUGCCAAGGAUGUUUUCAUUAAUCAAGAACGAAAGUUAGGGGAUCGAAGACGAUCAGAUACCGUCGUAGUCUUAACCAUAAACGAUGCCGACCAGCGAUUAGGAGACGUUGAAUACAAAACACCACCAUCGGUUGCGGUCGUCCUUGGCGUCUCGGUUUCGGCCGGGGCGCGGGGAUGGCUUAGCCCGGUGGCACCGGUGAAUGACUCCCCUAGCAGCUUGUGAGAA